AACUUCCCGUGCGGUACGCGUCCCCUCCUCUCCCUCUCAAACCCAGAGCGAACAGAGCCAGCGUUUAGGUCUUCAAAAACCCUCUCUCCGUUUCCCACUCCAAUGCCCGAACCGGCCGGUUCGAACCGGGCCUCCGUUUCGUUUUCACCGUACAGCCGUUCCCCUGCAGCUUCCAUGAAGGACGACGAAGCGGUACCGGACCACCUCCGCUGCCGCAGAACAGACGGUCGGCAAUGGCGCUGCGUCCGCAGGGCUAUGGAGAAUCUGAGCUUCUGCGAACUACACUACCUCCAGGCCCGCCACCGCCAGAACAAGCGGACCAUUCCCGACUCGAUCAAGCUCCAGCGCAAGAAGUCUGAACGCCGCCGCUGCCAGGAUCAAGAUAUACGGGUCAAGACGCCGCCUUUCAAGCUGUCAAAGGCUUCAAAGAGGGGGGAAUUGCAGGUGGAACUGAUAAGGAUGGUGUUGAAGUGGCAGGCGGAGAGGAAAAAGAAUCGGCGGGAUUCAGAGAAGAAUGCGAGCAAGGCGAAGAAGAAUGGUGGGGAUUUGAUGAAGGAUCUGCCGAAUGGUGUGAUGGCGAUCUCGCCGGCUCCGGUUCGUUGCUUGGGGGUUGAUUUUAUGCCUCACGAGAAGAAAUUGGGGUUUGAUUUGACUCUGCUUUUGAGGAGGUGUUUCCGGUCCAAGAAUGUGGAGUCACUUCCAUUGAGCUCUUUCCAGAUUGUUCCUCGGGUUCGCAAAGUGAUGGGCCUGAGGAGAGGUGGAAAGAAGAAUUGCCAUCAGUGCCAGAGGAGAAAUGCAACGAGGCUAAUCAGGUGUUUGAGCUGUCGAAGGGAGUUCUUUUGCAUAGACUGCAUAAAGGAAUGGUACUCUGAGAUGCCAGAAAAAGAAUUUAAGAUGGCCUGUCCUGUUUGUCGCGGAACUUGCAAUUGUAAGACAUGCUUGUCCAGUGAAUCAAUAGAUGGCGGAUGUAAGGGUCCUGCAAGCGGUAUAGACAAGAUUGACAAAAUUCUACAUGCCCAUUAUUUGAUUUGUAUCCUUCUUCCAGUACUGAAACAAAUCAAUCAGGAACAGAGAAUUGAGCUGGAAAUAGAGGCAAAGCUACAGGGAGGGGAAAAACCAUCUUCUAAUCAGCCUCGUCAGGCGGAAUGUGGCUAUGAUGAGAAACUGUACUGUGACAACUGCAAAGCUUCCAUCGUGGAUUUCCAUAGAAGCUGCUCAAAUUGUUCUUUUGACCUUUGCCUAAGUUGUUGUCGUGAGAUACGUGGAGGAAGCCUACCUGGAGGCAUUGGAGCAGUUACAUUCAAUUACAUAAAUAAAGGGAAAGCUUAUGUUCAUGGUGGCAAGCCUGUUUUGGGAACAAGGCUCUCUCUGUUAAGAAAUGGUAAUUCUCUGUUACCUUCUUCAGUUGCAUUGCCCGAAUGGAAAGCUAAUGAUGGCAAUGGCAGCGUUCCUUGUCCUCCCAAGGAGCUCGGAGGUUGUGGCGCUUGCAAUCUCGAUUUGAGAUGCAUUUUCCCAUUGGAUUGGAUACAACAGCUGGAAAUAAGUGCAGAAGAAAUAGCUUGCAGUUAUGACUUUCCUGAAAUGUUAGAUGCUUCUUCCUACUGUCCCUUUUGUGUUGGCAUGCAUGAUCAAGCAAUGGGAUUUGAUGGGAAUUUGCGAGAAGCCGCUGCUAGAGAGGAGUCUUACGAUAACUAUUUAUAUUGUCCUACUGCAAAGGAUCUUCAGGGUGAAGAUCUUGAACAUUUUCAGAAGCAUUGGAUUAAGGGCCAGCCUGUUGUAGUACGCAAUGUGCUUCAUGAUAAAUCUGAUUUAAGCUGGGAUCCUUCGGUAUUUUUCCAUCCUUUGCUUGAAAGGAACAGUACCAAUCAUGGGAAUGAUAUGAAGUCAGUUAAAGCUACUGAUUGCUUGGAUUGGUGUGAGGUAGAAAUCAGUAUUCACCACUUUCUUAAUGGAUAUUUAGAGGGAAGAACACAUGCCAAUUUGUGGCCUGAGAUGCUGAAAUUGAAGGAUUGGCAUCCUCCUAGUUGGUUUCAGGAACAGUUGCCGGCUCAUAAUGCUGAAUUUGUUUGUAGUCUACCGUUCCAAGAAUAUACUAAUCCCAAUUCUGGCCUUUUCAACUUAGCUGUGAAGUUACCGAAGGAAUUCCUCAAGCCUGACCUGGGUCCACGGGUGUAUAUCUCUUACGGUGUGGCUGAGGAGCUCUGCCGUGGUGAUUCUGUAACUAAGCUACACUAUGAUAUAUAUGAUGUGGUGAAUGUGCUGACACAUGCCACAGAGGUUAUAAUUCCCCCAGAGCAACUUAUCAAAAUUGAAAAGCUUAAGAGAAGGCACAGGGCUCAGGAUGAAAGGGAGUUCCUCAGGCGGACUGUAUCUGUUCCAGAAGUUGUAGAUGGGGUGAAACAGGAGUCAUCUGUGGUUGUUGUGGAAGAACCAGAUGUUGUUGAUCCGGAAGAUGUUACUGGAAGAGAGUCUACCUUAUUAAGAGGAGCUGCUGGUGUUUCUUGCUUGUCUGCUGUCAUCCAAAGGCCUAAAGAAUAUGAAAUUGGUGCCAAAGAGGAAAAAAUGUUGGAUGCUGGAGAGUAUGGCACUGAUAUUGAAUCCCAAAAGGAGUGUUCCAGUACCCAAAGCUCUGAAAUAUCUGAUGAUGGAGAGAAGGCCGCUCAGGAAGAAAGUAGAGGGAGCACCCUUAGUUUUGGAAAAGAAUCAAUAGCUAAAUCAUGUGGUGUUCGAUGGGAUGUCUUUCGUAGAGAAGAUGUUCCAAAGUUGCAGGCUUACCUCAGAAAACACUCUAAUGAGUUCAGGCACACUUAUUGCUCUCCAGUUGAACAUUCUGCUCAUCCGAUUCAUGAUCAGAGUUUCUUUCUGGAUACAACUCAUAAAAGGAGGCUCAAGGAGGAGUUCUAUAUCGAGCCUUGGACUUUUGAUCAGCACGUUGGAGAAGCAGUCCUUGUUCCUGCCGGAUGUCCAUAUCAAACUAGAAAUCUUAAGUCUUGUAUGAACGUGGCAUUGGAUUUUGUAUCUCCUGAGAAUGUUAGCGAGUGCAUUCGGUUGAUCGAUGAACUCCAUCUGCUACCUAACAAUCAUAAAGCCAAGGAAGACAAGUUAGAGGUGAAGAAAAUGAGCCUCUAUGGUAUUAGUGCAGCAAUUAAGGAAGUUCAAGAAUUGACACGAAGUGCGAUGUCAAGUUGAAGGGCCCAAAAAGAAUCCGGUGGCAAAGUGUUGACAACAACAAGCUCAUCAUGAGUUGUCCUGCUAUCACUAGGUGGGCUGACAUGAGGAAGAAGCUGGAAAGGACAAUACUCAUCUUAAAGAGAAGAGGCCAUGAAAGCAGGAGGUUCUUCGGAUGCCUUCAUCCUCUGUUUAACUCAACUGCCAUCCUUUUCUCUUGCAUAGCUGGAAAUCUUUCUCUAUGGCAUCUUUCAGUGAAGUUACAGUUUCGCUACUCGCAUGUAUUACGUGCAGAAAUUUUGCUUCCGCUGUGCAU